rnacentral:rRNA from 1 species
CGACGCGUCGGCAUCUUACACAGUCAGUGCACGGGCAGGGCACCUGUCAGUGGCGGACGGGUAGUACGCGAUCUAUCCUUGGGUGGGGGACAACCGUGGGAAACUACGGCUAAUACCGCAUGAUCCCUGAGGGGCAAAGGCGAAAGUCGCCUGAGGAGGAGCCUGCGUCUGAUUAGGUAGUUGGUGGGGUAAAGGCCUACCAAGCCUUCGAUCAGUAGCUGGUCUGAGAGGAUGAUCAGCCACACUGGGACUGAGACACGGCCCAGACUCCUACGGGAGGCAGCAGUGGGGAAUAUUGGACAAUGGGCGAAAGCCUGAUCCAGCAAUGCCGCGUGGAUGAAGAAGGUCUUCGGAUUGUAAAGUCCUUUUGGCGGGGACGAUGAUGACGGUACCCGCAGAAUAAGCUCCGGCUAACUUCGUGCCAGCAGCCGCGGUAAUACGAAGGGGGCUAGCGUGCUCGGAAUGACUGGGCGUAAGGGCGCGUAAGCGACGGACAGUCGGCGUGAAUUCUGGGCUCA